GCCCUGCACUUCGUGCUCUUAAAUGUCUCCCGAAAGAACCUGUGAAGGGAGAAAAGGAUUCCUGAUGGAUAGGAAUUUGGAAACAUUCACGGAUACUACUCAGUGAGCCACCAGAGUGGACAAACUGCUAAGCUCACAGGUCAUGUAACUGGGGAUUUUUUUUUUACAAAGUUAAAUCAAAACUUGAUUUUGAAAUGGCAAACUUUACACUCUUCUAUGAAUAAAACAAGUUUCAUCUCGUUAAGAGUAGCGUGAUAAAAUGGACGGGAUCUUCUCCUUUCUCCCAUGCAGGAGCUAUAGAUAAGAUCUACCAACCAGCUAAAUCUAUUAACAUUAACCCACAUUACUGAAGCAAGACAAAGGUGGUGGGAUAGAAUGACAGACACACAAAUGUGCAGGAACAUGGUGAAAAGCCAGAUCCUGUGAAUCACAGUCUGUUCUUGGGAAAAUUCAUAGGCCUACAGAUCUUUACUUGUAUUGUUUUAACAAGGAAUUACAGAACUGAGCAUGCUAAGCCGUGUUAUUUUCCUGUACUUCUCACACCUCUCCUGAUAUUUUCUGUAGAAUCUCUCCAGAACUGUGGAAAAGUUUUAUUUUAGGUAUGAAGUGUUGCUGACAAAAUUCCAUCUGGUUUGGUAUUCAGAAAUUCCCUCUCUUAAGAUCUGGGAGAUGCGAGAUUUUCUGUCCUUUCUUCUUACUGAACUAAAACAUUUCUUGGAAUCUGUACCAGGAGGUAAAUGACUAAACAUUCUGUCCGGAGUUGCUCAACUGUGCUCAGAUCACUUCACAGGCUUGGGGUCUGGGCCAGCCUGGACUCAUUUCUGUUCCACUUUGGAUUGUUUUGCAAACAUUUGACAGCGAAAACAAAAAGCCCAGAAAUCUCAUCGCUGCGUUGACUUUUUUCCCACUUAAUUUUUAUAACUGUACCAGAAAUUCCUUUCCAUAUUUAUUCUCUGAUAAAAAGAAAAAAAUAACUUUAUUUGCAAAGGAGAUUGGAUGUGAAGUUAAAGCCCAGAAGGAUCAAGUUGUUUGUGCCAGAUCAUCUAACAGAUCAGCCUCAGAGAGGAAAAACAGAAACAAACCCUUCAACACUUGUUCCUGUUAUGAUGAAAAUGCCUGAAAACUGAUUUUCGAAGGUAGGUCCACGAGAAAGGAUGGACCCUGAGCUGCUGAAGCCUGAAAGCCAAAAACUUUAGAAUUGUCACAUAAAUGGAGGUUAAAUAUAGUUCAAAUUGAAAUGAGGGCUUUUAAUUCCCCAUUUGGAACCCUUCUAAACUUCGUUUCCCCUCUAACUAGUCUGUCAUUCUUGACAGCGGUUUGUGUAACCCCUCCUAAAAAAACCCUCAGAACUGGUCACUUUACGAUCUUUACAAUCAUCUAGAAACUGCUCUGCUAGAUAACUCUUACUCUUCAGAGGCCUGAGGUAUAUGAGAAUCAUGUCUCAUCUUUGUAUUAUUUUUAAAGGAAAAUAUGUGAAAUUCAGUGGUUAUUGUGUUACCUAUAUUGUGUUAUAUGUGAAAAACUGGAAUUAUUUUCUUACAGCUGAGAAGACAAGAAUCAGGAGACGUGACUCUCUCCCAGGCUUCCUCUCUCUGGACCAACUCUCCAUUUAAGGUUGAGUGCAAAUGCUCUAAGAAUCCAGGGCAAUGAAGAAGAGUGAAGAAUUCCCAUGAAACCUGUGCUCACAUUUGCAAGUUCUUUUGGAUCUGAGCUUGGAGACUUGAUCUACGGGGAACCUCCUGGUUGGAGUCACCAUUCUGCUUCCCUGGGAAAUUACAGUAUAGUGGGAAUGUUCAUCAUUUCUACUUCCAGAGUUUCAAACCACAAGGACAGACAUCCUAUAUGAGGUUGGUCUGCUCACACUUGCCUGGCACCAUCAUUUCCUCUGGGAAAAUGGCAAGAGCAAAUAGGAACUUGCCUGGCUGCACGCAGGCGUGACCCUCCUGAGAACAUAUAAUUUGGCACCAUGUGCGAGUGAAGUUCAAACAUCCUCCAGCUAUGAGUUGUUGACAACAUCUCUCAGAAUAGACGUACGAACUAAAGCAGUUUUGGUGUUCUUCUAGCCCAGCGUUACCUUCAGAAAUGGUGACUGUUCCCAAGUGACUCAGUCACCCCCGCUGGGGGAAUGUGCUCGCAGCAGAGAAGUAGCCACGUCACCUUUGCAGCUCUGUAGGCAGGGGAUAACAGAACUUGCCAACUUCAUCAGGAUCCUGAGAA